UGUUGGCGAGUUAUUUAUGUUGUGAGAUACGUGUUAGUAUGUUAAAAUAACGAUUUUAUACUGUCAGACGGGUAUCCAAGUAUCGAAUGAAUCAUGCCUUCUCCCUCCUCCCCAGUCUCUUCAGCCCCAGGACCGAGACGUUGAGGUGGCGUGAAUUCGGCGUGCCCUGUCUGCAAUCCUGCCUUUCAGUAAGUCCCCAGGACCGAGGCGUUGAGGUGGCGUGAAUUCGGCGUGCCCUGUCUGCAAUCCUGCCUUUCAGUAAGGGGCAGUAAGGACAAGAUCCACCCACCACCCAGUGCAUGCUACAUAUGUGUGUGUAAUAAAUUGAGAGGGAAAGUGUGUGUGAUAAAUGAAAUUUAAUAAAGUAAGUAAAAUUUUGAA